GACGAACGCUGGCGGCGUGCUUAACACAUGCAAGUCGAACGGAAAGGCCCUGCUUUUGUGGGGUGCUCGAGUGGCGAACGGGUGAGUAACACGUGAGUAACCUGCCCUUGACUUUGGGAUAACUUCAGGAAACUGGGGCUAAUACCGCAUAGAAGCUCUUGCUGCAUGGGGGGGGUUGGAAAGUUUCGGCGGUUGGGGAUGGACUCGCGGCUUAUCAGCCGGUUGGUGGGGUAGUGGCUUACCAAGGUUUGGACGGGUAGCCGGCCUGGGAGGGUGACCGGCCACAGUGGGACUGAGAUACGGCCCAGACGCCUACGGGAGGCAGCAGUGGGGAAUAGUGCACAAUGGGCGGAAGCCGGAUGCAGCAACGCCGCGUGCGGGAUGACGGCCUUCGGGUUGGAAACCGCUUUCGCCUGUGACGAAGCGUGAGUGACGGUAAUGGGUAAAGAAGCACCGGCUAACUACGU
rnacentral:rRNA from 1 species